rnacentral:rRNA from 1 species
UAGCCGUAAACGAUACUCGCUAGGUGUCGGCCACGGUGCGACCGUUGUCGGUGCCGUAGGGAAGCCGUGAAGCGAGCCACCUGGGAAGUACGGCCGCAAGGCUGAAACUUAAAGGAAUUGGCGGGGGAGCACCGCAACGGGUGGAGCUUGCGGUUUAAUUGGAUUCAACGCCGGAAAUCUUACCGGGACCGACAGCAACAUGAAGGCCAGGCUGAAGACUUUGCCGGAUUAGCUGAGAGGUGGUGCAUGGCGUAGUCGUGU